rnacentral:rRNA from 1 species
AGUGAACGCUGGCGGUAGGCCUAACACAUGCAAGUCGAACGGCAGCACAGUAAGAGCUUGCUCUUACGGGUGGCGAGUGGCGGACGGGUGAGGAAUACAUCGGAAUCUACUUUUUCGUGGGGGAUAACGUAGGGAAACUUACGCUAAUACCGCAUACGACCUACGGGUGAAAGCAGGGGAUCUUCGGACCUUGCGCGAUUGAAUGAGCCGAUGUCGGAUUAGCUAGUUGGCGUGGUAAAGGCCCACCAAGGCGACGAUCCGUAGCUGGUCUGAGAGGAUGGUCAGCCACACUGGAACUGAGACACGGUCCAGACUCCUACGGGAGGCAGCAGUGGGGAAUAUUGGACAAUGGGCGCAAGCCUGAUCCAGCCAUACCGCGUGGGUGAAGAAGGCCUUCGGGUUGUAAAGCCCUUUUGUUGGGAAAGAAAAGCAGCAGGUUAAUACCCCGCUGUUCUGACGGUACCCAAAGAAUAAGCACCGGCUAACUUCGUG